rnacentral:lncRNA from 1 species
UCUCUAAAAUUUGUUAGAGUAGUCAUAUUUAGUGCAAAUAAUUAGAAAACAGUGUUAUGUCGGCAUUAGAGAAGAGCUGCAAAAGGAACUAUUUAUUGGACACUGGUACAGUGUGUGUUUGUGUCUGUGUGUUUGUGUGUAAAGUUUCAUUUAUUUUAAUGUUUUAAUGUAGGACUAUCUUAAACUAUGCAUAAUACAGCAUUUUUUGUUGUCAGAAAUUAGCUGUUUAUAUACGAACGCAUUAUUCUGUGUAUUUUACUUUUGUAUUGCAGAUGAGUUAGAGAAAGCAGGCAAGCAGCUAGGCAUAGAAGCCAGUGAGACUUAGGGACUUUGGAAUCUGAACCAAAAACAAGUUAAUCAAAAAUUAUCCAGUCACCAGAUUUACAAUACCUGUCAGAAGUUCCAGCUGUGAGCGGUCAUUAAGUGCAUUGAAUCAUCUUCAUACAUAGCUUAGGUGAACAAUGGGCCAGAGGAGACUCAAUCAUUUGGCUGUUCUAUCAAUUGAAAAAGGAAUUCUCAGCACUAUAAAUACUAGCAUGGUAAUUGGCCGUUUUGCACAAGUCAAGUCUCAGAGAUACUCUCUGAAGAUUCCACCCUCAAAGAAAUAGAGAACACAGAAAGAUAGAUUGAAGAAUUGUAAAGAAGGAUAAAAAAGUCACCAAGAGCAUGAAGUAGACAAGAUACAAGCAGCUAGACAGAUGAGUUAUGAGAAAUGAGAGAACAAUAAGAGAAGGGAGGAGAGCCCCUAAAAAAAGAAAGAAAGAAUGAGUCCUACAAACAAUCUUGAAGUAGCAGUGUUUGGAGUGUGUGUCGAGUAGUGUUCCCAUGACAGUGACUGUCCAAAUGAUGAGAAGUGCUGCAGCACUGGAUGUGGACAUCACUGUAUGGCUUUAUCUAAAGGUGUGAUACUAAUGCAUUGGCCUGCUUUUCCCCCCAUUACAGUGAACGUGGCCAAGGUGUGUGCCCAUUACAGUGACUGUCCAAACAAUGAGAAGUGCUGCAGAACUAAAUGUGCACUUGAAUGUACACCUCUAUAUGAAUGGGCCCUGGUCCAUGACUCGGACUGAUGUGCUGAGAACUAAUCCAUGAUGAUCAAUGCCUGCCAGACAGAAGUG